UAUAUUUUAGUGUAAGAUGCACAUAAAUUUUUGAUAUUUAAUGAUACAGUUUAAUUCUGUUAAAUAUAA
rnacentral:tRNA from 1 species